CUUUUUAACGCCGAUACCUGCAAAAAGCAUUAAUUCUACAAAUAAAGGAGGUAAGAAACGUGUAUCUUGCACCAUCGGGUACACGUCUUAGCGCGACAUCAAUUUGCUGAAUCAAAUUUUCUUUGCGUGGCAAAUUCCACAUCUUAGGGAGCGCCAUCGAAGAUCGCAAUGCUUUGCCAUCUUCAAAUUCAAGUGACAACCUCCACAUUUUAGGGAAUGUCAUCGAAGAUCGUUGUGCUUAACCAUCUUCAAAUCAAAGUGACAACCUCCACAUCUUAGGGAAUGUUGUCGAAGAUUGCAGUGCUUAGCCAUCUUCAAGUCAAAGAAAGACAACCUCCACAUCUUAGGGAAUGUUUUCGAAGAUCUCAAUGCUUAGCCAUCUUCAAGUCAAAGAAAGACAACCUCCACAUCUUAGGGAAUGUUGUGAAGAUCGCAAUGCUUAGCCAUCUUUCACUACUAGAAAUAGGCUUAUUUCCAAGGGAAAUGUUCCGACGGAAUAUAAUUCCCAGGAAAAUUCAAAAAUUCAGGCGGAAAUUGUAGUUGUAGGAAAAAUCCGUCGGAAUAGUUGCAUACCGACGGAAAAUUCCCUCGGUAACGUUCCGACAGAUUUUAUUUCCCUCGGAAUAUUCUGGUUCCGACAUAAUAUUCCCUCGGAAACGCUUCCGACGGAAAUUAUUCCCUCGGAAAAUUCAGGUUCCGACGGAAAAUUCUGUUGGAAACUGAGUUUUUCGAGGGAAUAAUUUCCGUCAGAAGCUUAGAACAUUAAAAAAAACACGCGUUUUACAGAACAGAACAGAAACACAAAAAUGCAGACAGAGAAACGGAGAGCGAGACAGAGGAAGAGGAAGAGGAAGAGAGAGAAAGGGAGAAGGAGAAAGAGGAAGAGAGAGAGGGCCACGCAGACGCCGAACCGCCCCUUCGCUGUUGCACCGCCGCCGGUAAGUUGUGGUUUUAUUUUUUUUUAUUUUUUUUCCGGAAAACCCUAACCUCCAUGUCACCUAGGGCUUACCGGAAAACCCUAACAACCACCAACCCCAAAGCCUCACUCUCCGGCCGGUCCACAACCACACCGCCCACCAGCCGCUGCCAGCAGAUUGAAUUGGUUCUUUGGCAAUAACAUCUACAGAUCUACAGGUAGUCAUGGCGGGUGGAAAAAGUGGGCAAUCGUCGAAGAAAGUAAAGGGGAAAGAGAAAAUGACCGCCCGCGCCCUUUUCAACGACGGCCAGGAUGAGGAGAUGUUCGAAGGCAGCCGAUUUGGGUGAGGAUUAGACGCCCACAUCCACUCCUCCAGAAGAUGGGCCACGGGAUGAGUCACAGGACGAGUCACAAGAUGAGUCACAGCUCCCGUGUUUGGACCAUACUAUGUUGUGGUUUGAUGAUCCUAAGGUUCGGAGUGCGGUAUCCGGUACGAUUACUGGAUACUACCGAGGCCCUUGGAGGAACUUUGGAGAAGUUCCUGCAGCUACGAAGGAACACUGGUGGAAAUUGUUCAGCGCACAAUUCAGAUGGGCACCCCAGAUGAACGAGCUAGUGAAGCUCACAUUUCGGAGGAGGGUAGCAACACGCCUGACAUGUUCCACACCAUCACGCAAAAGAUGAAUGGCGCCAAGCCAAGUUGGCUGAGUGAGGAGAUCCACAAGGAGAUGAUGAACAUUGUUGCAUCGGAUCCAACUUACAAGGAGAGGUCGGCGCAAAACAAGAACAGAAGGGGCGGUUCUAUGGAAAAUCCCGUCUGAGGGACCCACUUUCAGGGUUCAUUGUCAGCGACCCAACAUGCAAAAAGGAUGGCGGCGAAGAACAAGGGCCAGCUGCCAACAGCUCCUGAGCUGUUUCUGAAGACACACUUCAAGGAGUUGCCUGGGAAAGCCACAGUGGCAGUAAACCCCACAGCUUAGGAAAUUGCGGAGGCCUACCGAAAGAGGGUUGAGGAGGCUAGCACUCAAAGGACUCAGAAGAGUCCGAAUGAGCUGUACUAGGAGACAGUGGGUGGUCAGAACAAAAAAGGACGUGUGAAGGGACUUGGCGGAAGUGCUGACCUUUACUAUGGCAGUCAGAUGGGUCGACUUUCCACAUCUUCCAUGUAGUACACGCCCUCCCUUGUUUCUCAGAUGCAAGAUCAGGUGGAAAUAAAGGUGUAGGCUCUUCGGGAAGAAAUAGAACUCGAGAUGCAAGCCCGAGUUCAAGUCUCAGUAAGAGCCCAAAUGGAAGAAAUGGAGAAGAGGUUGGAAGAGAGGAUGAUGAGUCGUUACCACAACGACCCUUGUUCCACCGUGCGACCUCCAUUUCGAGAUCCCAGGGACGACGACCCGGGUAGUGGUGGAGCAUGCACUCCCGCAGUUGCUUAGCUGUAAUUAACGUAGUGUUUAUUAGUACUAAUUUUAGAUUACAUUACUUGGCUUUACAGAUUAGAAUUAGUA